rnacentral:rRNA from 1 species
GAUGAACGCUGGCGGCGUGCCUAAUACAUGCAAGUCGAGCGAACAGACGAGGAGCUUGCUCCUCUGACGUUAGCGGCGGACGGGUGAGUAACACGUGGAUAACCUACCUAUAAGACUGGGAUAACUUCGGGAAACCGGAGCUAAUACCGGAUAAUAUAUUGAACCGCAUGGUUCAAUAGUGAAAGACGGUUUUGCUGUCACUUAUAGAUGGAUCCGCGCCGCAUUAGCUAGUUGGUAAGGUAACGGCUUACCAAGGCAACGAUGCGUAGCCGACCUGAGAGGGUGAUCGGCCACACUGGAACUGAGACGCGGUCCUGACUCCUACGGGAGGCAGCAGUAGGGAAUCUUCCGCAAUGGGCGAAAGCUUGACGGAGCAACGCCGCGUGAGUGAUGAAGGUCUUCGGAUCGUAAAACUCUGUUAUUAGGGAAGAACAAAUGUGUAAGUAACUAUGCACGUCUUGACGGUACCUAAUCAGAAAGCCACGGCUAACUACGUG